GGGGAUGCACUGGUUUCGACGGGGAGUACGAAGUUUAAAAUGCAUGCCGUGCCUGAAUGAUGCACGUUAAUCUUAGUUCAAUUUGUUAUAGUUGCAAACGACGAUAACUACGCUCUAGCUGCUUAAUCCAGCUAGUGCAGCCUAGACCAGUUGUUCGUGGCCUCUAGCGCUGUAUCGACUUACGCGAAACCGCUGUUAGCAUGUGUUUGGAUGUUGGCAGUUAAACUUUACAAACUCGCUUGACGUGAUCCCUGCUGGUCGGGCAGCGUUCAGGUUAAAUUAGUAGACCAAAUAAGCAUGUAGAGUUUUAGAUGGAGGCUUUACGGACGGCGGUUCGACUCCGCCCAUCUCCACCA
rfam:Hydrogenovibrio marinus strain MH-110 scaffold00001, whole genome shotgun sequence.